CUCUGGAGCUCUAUUAGGGUUUCAAGCAUGUGGAGGUACUGAUUCAAUUUUCAAUUUUUGUAAAUCGAAAAUAUGACUGGAUCUAUGGUAGUAAGUCAAGAAAUGAUUAGGAUUGCUGAGUUGGAAGAAAAGAUAAGAGAUUUCCAAUAGGAGUCUCGGGGGCUGAAGGAGGAAGUGAAGAAGACUUCUUUGGAACUCAAUUUUUUUUAGGGGUGAAUUUCUAGCUGUAGAAAGAGAUGAUUCUCAUAUAUUUCAAUUAAUCUGUACAUGGGUAUUUA
rnacentral:misc_RNA from 1 species